rnacentral:rRNA from 1 species
GUAGGUGCAAAUAACCAUUGAUCCGUGAAUUUCCGAAUGGGGCAACCCGGCCAUUAGCAAUAGUGGUCAUCCUAUUUAUAGGAAGCAAACCCGCUGAACUGAAACAUCUAAGUAGGCGGAGGAAAAGAAAACAAAAGUGAUUCCCUUAGUAGCGGCGAGCGAACAGGGAACAGCCUAAACCAAUAUUGUUUCGGCAAUAUUGGGGUUGUAGGACCGACAUAAUUAUUAUUAAUACGAAGUGGAAGCAUUUGGAAAGUUGCAUCACAGAGGGUGACAAUCCCGUACACGCAAGUAUGAUAAUAAGGUUGGUAUCCUGAGUAGCGCGGAACACGAGAAAUUCUGUGUGAAUCAGCCGGGACCAUCCGGUAAGGCUAAAUACUCCUGAGAGACCGAUAGUGAACCAGUACCGUGAGGGAAAGGUGAAAAGCACCCCGAACAGGGGAGUGAAAUAGUACCUGAAACCGUGCGCCUACAAGCGGUCGGAGUCCUGAGCUAGUCGAAGGAUGACGGCGUGCCUUUUGCAUAAUGAGCCUACGAGUUAUUCCUUACCAGCGAGGUUAAGUGCGUUGUAAAGCACGGAGCCGAAGCGAAAGCGAGUCUUAACAGGGCGGUUAAGUUGGUAGGGAUAGACGCGAAACCUUGUGAUCUACCCAUGGUCAGGUUGAAGCUGUGGUAACACACAGUGGAGGACCGAACCAGUAAACGUUGAAAAGUUUUUGGAUGAACUGUGGGUAGGGGUGAAAGGCUAAUCAAACUGGGAAAUAGCUCGUACUCCCCGAAAUGCAUUUAGGUGCAGCCUUAUAAUAGUUUUGCAGAGGUAGAGCUACUGAUAGGACGCGAGGGCUUCAUCGCCUAUCAACUCCUGACAAACUCCGAAUGCUGCAAAAUGUUUUAUAGGAGUGAGGGCAUGGGUGCUAAGGUCCAUGUCCGAAAGGGAAAGAACCCGGACCAUCAGCUAAGGUCCCCAAGUAUAUGCUAAGUUGAAGAAAACGCGGUAUGGCUGCAGAGACAGCUAGGAUGUUGGCUUGGAAGCAGCCAUUCAUUUAAAGAGUGCGUAACAGCUCACUAGUCGAGCGGCCGUGCAUGGAUAAUAAUCGGGCAUAAGCAUAUCACCGAAGCUAUGGAUUUGUACUUAGGUACAAGUGGUAGGGGAGCAUUCCAAACAGCGCAGAAGCAGUAUCGUGAGGUAUUGUGGAGUGUUUGGAAAAGCAAAUGUAGGCAUAAGUAACGAUAAAACGGGUGAGAAACCCGUUCGCCGAAAGACCAAGGUUUCCUGAUCAACGCUAAUCGGAUCAGGGUUAGUCGGGGCCUAACGCGAACCCGAAAGGGGUAGUGGAUGGAAAGCAGGUUAAUAUUCCUGCACCUGUCAUACAAUAAAAGUGACGUGGGAUCGAGGUGCCUGGGGGCUGACGGAAUAGCCCGCUGAGCUUAGGCUACGGCCGAAGCGAAGGUAAGCAGAUUCUACCGAGAAAAGCGAGUAUGGCAGCUCGUACCGUAAACGGACACACGUAGUUGGGUUGAGUAUACUAAGGCGCUCGAGUGAUUCAUGGCUAAGGAACUAGGCAAAUUAACCCUGUAACUUCGGGAGAAAGGGUCCCUGCUCUUAAAUGAGUAGGGCGCAGAGAAAUGGCCCAGGCGACUGUUUAUCAAAAACACAUGGCUUUGCUAAAUCGAAAGAUGAUGUAUAAGGCCUGACACCUGCCCGGUGCUGGAAGGUUAAGAGGAGAUGUUAUCUUCGGAGAAGCAUUGAAUUGAAGCCCCAGUAAACGGCGGCCGUAACUAUAACGGUCCUAAGGUAGCGAAAUUCCUUGUCGGGUAAGUUCCGACCUGCACGAAUGGUGUAACGAUCUGGGCACUGUCUCAGCCAUGAGCUCGGUGAAAUUGUAGUAGCGGUGAAGAUGCCGCUUACCCGCAACGGGACGGAAAGACCCCGUGAACCUUUACUGCAACUUAGCAUUGAUUUUGGGUAAGUAAUGUGUAGGAUAGGACGGAGACUAUGAAUCGGGUCCGCCAGGAUUCGUGGAGUCAUCCUUGAAAUACGUCCCUUUGCUUGCCUGGAGUCUAAUUCCGCAA